AAAAUUGCAGUUGAUACUGGGGGCCUUGAGUGCGGCAGAGGCAGGCGGAAUUCGUGGUGUAGCGGUGAAAUGCUUAGAUAUCACGAAGAACUCCGAUUGCGAAGGCAGCUUGCUGGACCGUAACUGACGUUGAUGCUCGAAAGUGCGGGUAUCAAACAGGAUUAGAUACCCUGGUAGUCCGCACAGUAAACGAUGAAUACUCGCUGUUGGCGAUAUACUGCCAGCGGCCAAGCGAAAGCGUUAAGUAUUCCACCUGGGGAGUACGCCGGCAACGGUGAAACUCAAAGGAAUUGACGGGGGCCCGCACAAGCGGAGGAACAUGUGGUUUAAUUCGAUGAUACGCGAGGAACCUUACCCGGGCUUGAACUGCAGCGGAAUGGUUUGGAAACAGAUCAGCGAGCAAUCGCCGCUGUGGAGGUGCUGCAUGGUUGUCGUCAGCUCGUGCCGUGAGGUGUCGGCUUAAGUGCCAUAACGAGCGCAACCCUUACCGAUAGUUGCCAUCAGGUGACGCUGGGGACUCUAUCGGGACUGCCGUCGUAAGAUGUGAGGAAGGUGGGGAUGACGUCAAAUCAGCACGGCCCUUACGUCCGGGGCUACACACGUGUUACAAUGGGGGGUNNNGCAGGCCGCUACCGGGCGACCGGAUGCCAAUCCCUAAAACCCCUCUCAGUUCGGACUGGAGUCUGCAACCCGACUCCACGAAGCUGGAUUCGCUAGUAAUCGCGCAUCAGCCACGGCGCGGUGAAUACGUUCCCGGGCCUUGUACACACCGCCCGUCAAGCCAUG
rnacentral:rRNA from 1 species